GACGACUGAAUCUCCCCGUUGAUAGCAAGCAAACAAAAGCCCGGGAGGGGGGCGCCGCGACGUGGACGUGUAAAGUUAAACCCCCGGCUCGAUAAACCGUUCGGCGGAGGGAGGGAGGGCUGCCGCUGCCGCUGCCGAUGACGGGUGGCGAGGCUCCAGCAGCCGCCACCCCCCACCACACCACUGGGCGCAGAGCUGCCCGUCGUCUUCCUCCGGAGCUGGGCGAUCGGGCCACUCACGGCUCUCCGCUGCUCCACUGCCGGUCUCGUCCUCCGGCCUCGCCUGUACCCUAGCUAGCUAAG
rnacentral:lncRNA from 1 species